UAGCUGAUAAAUAUACAGAAGAACCAACAACAAAUACGACGGUGUUGAUAACUGAUGAACCUACAGAAGAACCAAAAACAAAUACAACAGUGUCGAUAACUGAUGAACCUACAGAAGAACCGACAACAUAUACGACAGUGUCAAUAACUGAUGAAUCUACAGAAGAACC